CGUCCACACCACUCAUAUGAUCCCAUCUAAAAAAAAACAUUAAUAAUACACGUGUACAUGUAACUUGUGGCUCCACAUUGGUGGGCUAUAUGCAUUUGUAAUAUGUAAUAGCCAUAUUGCACGAAUUCAGCUUAUGAGACAAAAGUACAAUGUGCUCAACUAUUUGGAUAGUAAGGCACACUUCUAGCGCAUUGGAAGUACGUCACUUUUCGCAGCAAAACAACGUUUUCCAACACGGGUUCCUAAAUGACUGGUGGCAGCCUGCAUCACAUAGAAGAUGAACAAGGGUGAUUGGGGAAACAGAUUGAAGAAGGUGGAACAACUAGCUCAGUCCUUCCAGCAGUGUCCCUUGUCCUCUCGCUACAAACCAAGGCUGUCCCGGCUAUGGCAGCCAUCCUCCAUAUGGAAGCUCUUCCCUCGUCAAUGUAUGGCUAUCAACUUUGCCCAGAGUUGCAGAGAGGACGUACACGUGUUUGCACUUGAGAAGGAACAGGCCAAGGUGGGUCAGAGGAUCUUCCUGGUCACCAGUUACAGUGAGCUAUGGCACUUCUACAGGGCAAUUUAUCCAUUUGAUUCUGCAGCCAGUGAUGAGCGUGCAUAGGAGGGGAAGUGAACUUGAGAAUGACGUGGGCGGAGUCACAGAGGACAGUGGCAAAAGGUGGAUCUUAGAGGUCUGGUACCAGAAGUGUCCCGACCCUGUUUGCAAGAGCUUCAGAUAUUCCAGUACACGCUGGUUAACACUAAAAUGGUUACCCAUUACCCCAGGACAUCUGCGUCAGCUACAAUGGAUGAGGAGGACCAGGCGUAUCUGAUGGACGACAUGGGGAACAUUGAGCUCAGCUAGACACCCCCAGCGGAGAAGUACCAGGGGGGCUCGGCAGCAACACUUCCCCAGGGAGAUGAGGCAGAUGACCAGGCCUACCUGGAGGCCCUGGAGGAUGUCGAGAGAAGCACAGGCGAUUUGGCAGAGGAUGAUGUCCCAGAUGAGCUUCUGCUCCAAACCAUGACUGAGUUUGAGUCCCUCAAAGAUUUGUGCUUGUCGGGCCACUAAGUGCAUUUUCCUUCAGUUCUGUUCAUGGAGACAAAGGGUGAGCAGGCUUUUGCUCCAGCUCAGAAGGAACCCACCCCAUUCAACUACUAUGUACAUAUUAACUAAAUUACCUUGACUAACCGGUGCCCCCACACAUUUACUCUGUACCGGUGCCCCCUGUAUAUAGCCUCGCUUGUUAUUUUACUGCUGCUGUUUAAAUAUUUGUUACUUUUAUUUUUCUAUUUUUUACUUAACACUUGUUUUUUCCUUAACUUCUUAAAGCAUUGUUAGUUAAGGGCUUGUAAGUAAGCGUUUCACUAUAAGGUCUACACUUGUUGUAUUCGGCGCAUGUGACAAAUAAGAUUUGAUUUGAUUCAAGGGCUUGAUGCUUAGUUGAAUUAAGUGUGUUGAGGUGCUGGGCUGGAACAAAAGCCUGCUAGCCUGUGAAUUUCCAAGAGCAGAAUGGAAGAAGACUGCAUUAGAGGGAGGUUAUACUUGUCCAACAGUACAUUUGUAAUACAGUAAUUCAGUACAAUCCUCAAUUUCAAUUACUGGCUGUUAAUGCACUUUAUAAACAGAGGUUUUUCCCAAUUACCUAGGCCUAUUCAAUGCAAGGUGCGUUAUAGCAGUGGUCUCCAACAGGUCGAUUGUAAGCUACCAAUAGCUCGCAGCCCACCUAUGAGUAGCUCGCCAAACAAUUCUGAAAGUACAUGCAAUUUUCACGUGUUCCUCGCAAACUGUCAAACAAAUAUCACACACCACAAGCUCCCAGCUACUAUCUAGUCAAUGCAACAUUGACAGUAUCCCACCCCUGGUCAGCCACUAUUGGCUUAAAAACCCAAACCUAACACAAUAUCUGCCAAAUUAAUUUCCAGGAAUAUUGCUAGUCUGUCUGCGUCGUGCGUUUGUCUAUCACUCCGUGUGUAGCCAGAUAUAACUGUCUUGUGGGUUGACAUAAAUACUUUCCCCAAACCUUCUCAAUUAUCAUAAGUAUAUCAUUUGUAUCUAUUAUUUGCAAACUUUGCCAUGAAAUGAGCAGCCGCAGUACAGAACCGACACAUUAGACAGCACAUUCCUCACUCUUUAGAUGCGCAAUUAAAAGGCCAGAUGCACAAUUAAAGGGUAAAUAUUUUUUUGUUUUCUUCCAGAUUUAAGCAUUGACAUAGACUCAGAACAUCCAAUUUUGUUGUUUCUCUAUGAACAAUUGUAAUUGAGAGUGAAAACAAAAAAUCUAUACAUUUUAAAAAGUAGCUCUCAUGGUAGAAAAGGUUGUGGAGACCCCUGCGUUACAGCGUGGCACACUAUAACAUACAUUUAAAGGUCAUUUACGGUUAAGCCGACAAUCUCCACAAAUGUCUGUGAAUAUGCUGUUAAAAAGAGCAUUGUCGGCUGUGUAGGGCGCUUCACAAUAAAGCACCUUGCAUUGAAUGCCGGCCCUACUGGUUGUUCUGAUAGCAUGCAAUUGUAUAUAGCUUGGUAGGAUGUUUCUGAUAACUGAACAUUGAUAAACUACCAACUCCUUACCUGUUUUCUGGUACUUGUUUGUUCUGGAUUAUUUUGACUGAAUUUAUAAACAUAUGACUGAAAACCA